GAAAUUAAAUAUUAAGGAUUAGGGCCUUGCCCCCAUUGCACUGAAUAUUUUUAAGGGCCGCGGUAUUAUGACCGUGCAAAGGUAGCAUAAUCAUUAGUUUUUUAAUUGAGGGCUAGAAUGAAGGGUUUGACGAAGUAAUAACUGUCUCAUUAUAAAUUUUUGAAUUUUACAUUUGAGUUAAAAGGCUUAAAUGAUAAUAUAGGACGAGAAGACCCUAUAGAGCUUUAUAAGUAUAUAAAUUAUUAUGAUUUGGAGGUAUUUAUUUAUAAUAGAAUUGCUUAUUUUGUUGGGGUGACAAAAGGAUAAAAUUAACUCCUUUAUUUUAUAACAUUGAUUUAUGAUUUAUAGAUCCAUUUUUAUGAAAAGAAGAUUAAGUUACCUUAGGGAUAACAGCGUAAUUUUGUUUGAGAGUUCAUAUCGACAAUGAAGUUUGCGACCUCGAUGUUGGAUUAAGGAUAUAAAUAAAUGUAGUAGUUUAAUUUAUGGGUCUGUCGACUCCUUAAAUCCUUACCUGAAUCU
rnacentral:rRNA from 1 species